rnacentral:rRNA from 1 species
UAAGUCUGAGACCUGAUGCCGAGCCGAUUGUGGUGAAGUGGAUGAUCCUAUGCUGUCGAGAAAAUCCUCUAGCGAGUUUCAUGGCGGCCCGUACCCUAAACCGACUCAGGUGGUCAGGUAGAGAAUACCGAGGCGUUCGGGUGAACUAUGGUUAAGGAACUCGGCAAAAUGCCCCCGUAACUUCGGGAGAAGGGGGGCCAUCACUGGUGAAGGCAUUUACUGUCUGAGCUGGGGGUGGCCGUAGAGACCAGCGAGAAGCGACUGUUUACUAAAAACACAGGUCCGUGCGAAGCCGUAAGGCGAUGUAUACGGACUGACGCCUGCCCGGUGCUGGAACGUUAAGGGGACCGGUUAGUCACUCUUCGGGGUGGCGAAGCUGAGAACUUAAGCGCCAGUAAACGGCGGUGGUAACUAUAACCAUCCUAAGGUAGCGAAAUUCCUUGUCGGGUAAGUUCCGACCUGCACGAAUGGCGUAACGACUUCUCGACUGUCUCAACCAUAGGCCCGGUGAAAUUGCACUACGAGUAAAGAUGCUCGUUUCGCGCAGCAGGACGGAAAGACCCCGGGACCUUUACUACAGUUUGAUAUUGGUGUUCGGUUCGGCUUGUGUAGGAUAGCUGGGAGACUGUGAACUCUGGACGCCAGUUCAGGGGGAGUCGUCGUUGAAAUACCAGUCUGGUCGUGCUGGAUGUCUAACCUGGGUCCGUGAUCCGGAUCAGGGACAGUGUCUGAUGGGUAGUUUAACUGGGGCGGUUGCCUCCUAAAGAGUAACGGAGGCGCCCAAAGGUUCCCUCAGCCUGGUUGGCAAUCAGGUGUUGAGUGUAAGUGCACAAGGGAGCUUGACUGUGAGACCGACGGGUCGAGCAGGGACGAAAGUCGGGACUAGUGAUCCGGCGGUGGCUUGUGGAAGCGCCGUCGCUCAACGGAUAAAAGGUACCCCGGGGAUAACAGGCUGAUCUUCCCCAAGAGUCCAUAUCGACGGGAUGGUUUGGCACCUCGAUGUCGGCUCGUCGCAUCCUGGGGCUGGAGUCGGUCCCAAGGGUUGGGCUGUUCGCCCAUUAAAGCGGUACGCGAGCUGGGUUUAGAACGUCGUGAGACAGUUCGGUCCCUAUCCGCUGCGCGCGCAGGAACAUUGAGAAGGGCUGUCCCUAGUACGAGAGGACCGGGACGGACGAACCUCUGGUGUGCCAGUUGUUCUGCCAAGGGCAUGGCUGGUUGGCUACGUUCGGGAGGGAUAACCGCUGAAAGCAUCUAAGCGGGAAGCCUGCUUCGAGAUGAGUGUUCCCACCCCCUUGAGGGGUUAAGGCUCCCAGUAGACGACUGGGUUGAUAGGCCGGAUCUGGAAGGCGGGUAACCGCUGGAGGUGACCGGUACUAAUAGGCCGAGGGCUUGUCCU